rnacentral:lncRNA from 1 species
UAUUUCUGUAUUGGCCUUUGCAAUUGGCAUAUCUCACUGAUGCUAAAUGGCCCAUGCAGGGCAUUCAGAAGGAGCUACCUCUCGGGCCUCAACGCCAAAUAAAAUUCGAUCCUGGGCCGUAUCCAGCCCUUCAAAAUUCCCACCCAAACGGUCCCGGACCAUGUGGGCUCCAUUUGAGUGCUUGCUGGCUGGAUUCCACAGUUUGCAGCCCAGAGAUCGCGCAUUUUAGGAUGAAGCGCUUGCCCGAAGAAGCCUG